CACCAUUGAAGCUGGUAGUGCCCGAAGUCAUUACUCCAACCUUUCGGGGAGGAGGAUGCCUAAGGCAGGACUGGAUGAGCUGGGGUGAGCUCGUAACAAGGUGAGCCAUGCCGGAAGGUGUGGCUGGAUCACCUCCUUUUUAGGGAGACCUACACCCCUCAGAUAUCGAAAAGCAGAUAGUUAUAUAGAUACUGAGUUGGUCUAACCUAGGUCGGUCGAGAUUGGUAAAUAGCUUUCAAAGUAUUAGUGGUUCGGCAGAUAAAAGCAAUUUAUAAGAGUCAGAGAAAUCAGCAACAUGACUGAAUUGUCAGACUGCUGAGAUGGUCUCAGCCAGAACCUUCCGAAAACUGCACCCCUAGUAACGCGAAAUUAGCAGGCAGACACAGACAUUCCGAAAGGAAGUUGAGUGAAUGCAAAUGUUUAACACCGAAAUGUAUCAUGGUCAAGCUAAUAAGGGCUAACGGUGGAUACCUAGGGUUUUACACAGAGAG
rnacentral:misc_RNA from 1 species